GGGGAGGAGAAUAGGUUCACAAACCCCCCAUGUUACAACCUUUGGAACCAUAAAACUAGCGAUGCAGCACAACGGUUAGUAAAAAUAGCAACCCACGAGGUUAUCAACGUGCCCACAACACGUACGAUUUCUGUGAACCCCUUCGGAAGGGAGACACGAAGAUUAGGUACCGAGCCAAAACGGUCGUGGUAGAAUUUUUU
rnacentral:misc_RNA from 1 species